CACGCAGGCGGUUUGUUAAGUCAGACGUGAAAUCCCCGGGCUCAACCUGGGAACUGCAUCUGAUACUGGCAAGCUUGAGUCUCGUAGAGGGGGGUAGAAUUCCAGGUGUAGCGGUGAAAUGCGUAGAGAUCUGGAGGAAUACCGGUGGCGAAGGCGGCCCCCUGGACGAAGACUGACGCUCAGGUGCGAAAGCGUGGGGAGCAAACA
rnacentral:rRNA from 1 species